UGCCUAAUACAUGCAAGUCGAGCGAACUGAUUAGAAGCUUGCUUCUAUGACGUUAGCGGCGGACGGGUGAGUAACACGUGGGCAACCUGCCUGUAAGACUGGGAUAACUUCGGGAAACCGAAGCUAAUACCGGAUAGGAUCUUCUCCUUCAUGGGAGAUGAUUGAAAGAUGGUUUCGGCUAUCACUUACAGAUGGGCCCGCGGUGCAUUAGCUAGUUGGUGAGGUAACGGCUCACCAAGGCAACGAUGCAUAGCCGACCUGAGAGGGUGAUCGGCCACACUGGGACUGAGACACGGCCCAGACUCCUACGGGAGGCAGCAGUAGGGAAUCUUCCGCAAUGGACGAAAGUCUGACGGAGCAACGCCGCGUGAGUGAUGAAGGCUUUCGGGUCGUAAAACUCUGUUGUUAGGGAAGAACAAGUACGAGAGUAACUGCUCGUACCUUGACGGUACCUAACCAGAAAGCCACGGCUAACUACGUGCCAGCAGCCGCGGUAAUACGUAGGUGGCAAGCGUUAUCC
rnacentral:rRNA from 1 species